ensembl:lncRNA
GAUUCCCGAAGCAUGCUUGGGUUUGACACUGUAGGUAGCCUUCUCCUUGGCUUGUCUGAAGCACUCCUCUGCCUUCUUCAGUCUGUAUCGCAGAAACACAACAUCACACAGCAGUCACAUAACACACUGCAGUCAGCUACCAUAUACAUCUGGGUCAUAGUGAAAACACACAAUCCUGUCCUGAUACCAGCCCCAUCAUCUAGCCAACCUUCCACCACCUUCAUACAAUGUUUGGGGCACCAUGGACAGAACAUCCAAAUAAACAGUAUAAUCCCACUUAAAAAGAUCCUGCAGGCCUUCAGCCAUGGCGGGCCGACACACUGAUCCUUCUACACAUGUAUUCAAGGUCAUGAGCCGCGGGCCCUGUGUGCUCCUGGAUGCUGAUUGGUUGUAAAGGGAUCCGGAAAGGAACUCCAUUCCCAUCAGGAACAGUGGCUCCCCAUUACGGAGGUGGAGCGGUCAGGACAAACCAUUCCCAUCAGGAACAGGGGCUCCCCAUUACAGAGGUGGAGCGGUCGGGACAAACCGUUCCCAUCAGGAACAGGGGCUCCCCAUUACGGAGGUGGAGCGGUCGGGACAAACCGUUCCCAUCAGGAACAGGGGCUCCCCAUUACGGAGGUGGAGCGGUCGGGACAAACCCCUCCCAUCAGGAACAGGGGCUCCCCAUUACAGAGGUGGAGCGGUCGGGACAAACCGUUCCCAUCAGGAACAGUGGCUCCCCAUUACAGAGGUGGAGCGGUCGGGACAAACCGUUCCCAUCAGGAACAGGGGCUCCCCAUUACAGAGGUGGAGCGGUCGGGACAAACUGUUCCCAUCAGGAACAGGGGCUCCCCAAUAGAGGUGGAGCACUCGGGACAAACCGUCCCCAUCAGGAACAGGGGCUCCCCAUUACAGAGCGGGACAAAGGCAGACAGGGACGAUGACAGGAGUUCAAUUAACCAGCCCUGUGAUGUCAAAACCCUGGUGAAAUGAAUAGCACAUAGAAUUAGAAAAAGGUUUUUUUACCAGAUAUUGUUCAUCCUGAUCAGACAGAUUACAAUUACUUCAAACAAUUGAAUAUUAUGAAAAAUCGAAGAUUAUCAAUCUGAUUAAGUAUGAAUAGAAUGUAUAUUUAAAUGCCUGGAUGACUUUACAUUUUGGUGAAUCUCUUAUACAGGAGAGAGGGGCGAGGGGGUUAAAGUUAUGUACAGCAACCCCAGAUGUAAAAUAGUAAAUAAAUGGUAACUUCUUAGAAAGUAUUGAACUUUUAAGAGGAGUAAAACAAGGAUGUCCGUUGUCUCCAUAUUUAUUUAUUAUGACCAUUGAAAUACUAGCUAUUAAAAUUAGAUCCAACAACAACAUCAAGGGGUUGGAAAUCCAAGGUUAAGAAACAAAAAUGUUACGUUUUUACUUAAGUCAGGAAUCUGGAUGCCUGCACAGUCUCAUUGAAUAUCUUGGUCACUUUUCUAGCCUCGCUGUACUAAAAACCUAACUAUAACAAGUGCACCAUAUUACGUAUUGGGAUCGUUAAAAAAGUGUUUACACUACUUUGUAGUUUCCCAAUAAAAUAGGCGGAUGGUGAAGCAGACAUACUUAUUCACAUCUCAAAAAAUAUAAAUUAACUACCACAAUCAAUUUCAAUAGAAAGGGUUAGGGUUAGUAUAUAUAAUAUAAAUUAACUACCACAAUCAAUUUCAAUAGAAAG